ACACUGGUCUUUUUAAAGACCAAAGAAAGACAGAAAGUGAUGUAAG
rfam:Mus musculus chromosome 7, GRC primary reference assembly.